rnacentral:lncRNA from 1 species
GCAGCAUCCAUUACGGAGAAGCAGAGAGAUGAAGAGGUUUGAGUUACCACUCCAAAUUACCUGUAGAGAAAAGUGCUUCUAUUGAUUAAUAUAAUUCUGAAAAGGAGAAGAGAAGCAAGGAUGCAUUUAACUAAAGCGGAUAGCAGAAAUCCUCCACAGCAAAUGCUUAAGGAUAAUAAGAAGCAAAAUACUGAACCUACGGAAUUACAGACAUUGGUGAGAAAUCCAAGCCAUGCCUCACUUCCACUAGAUGACAGAUUGGAGUGGACUUGCUGAAGACUUGUACUUCUGCAGAAAGUAAAUAAAGGGGUCCACUUCUUGUGCAAAUUGGUCCUGGAAGCAUGUUAAUGGAUAAAUGAAAGAAUGGGUGGUAAUGUUUUUGCGCGUGUCUUCUCCUCCAAAGCUGAGGAAGACAUCAUGCUUGCUUGCAUUGAGAAGAAGAAAAAGUUGCAACAUUCAUUAUGGAAGAUUAGAGAGAUGAAGAGAUUUGAGUUACCACUCCAAAUUACCUGUUGCGAAAAGUGCUUCAAUUGAUUAAUAUAAUUCUGAAAAGGAGAAUAAGAAGCAAAAGAUUGAACCAGCGGAUCUAAGAAUUACUGAUGUUGGUGAGAAAUCCAAGCCAUGCCUCACUUCCACUAAAUGAGAGAUUGGAGUGGACUUGCUAAAGACUUGUACUUCUGCAUAAAGUAAAUAAAGUGGUCCACUU